rnacentral:rRNA from 1 species
UACAGAGGAUGCAAGCGUUAUCCGGAAUGAUUGGGCGUAAAGCGUCUGUAGGUGGCUUUUUAAGUCCGCCGUCAAAUCCCAGGGCUCAACUCUGGACAGGCGGUGGAAACUACCAAGCUGGAGUACGGUAGGGGCAGAGGGAAUUUCCGGUGGAGCGGUGAAAUGCGUAGAUAUCGGGAAGAACACCCGUGGCGAAGGCGGCACUCUGGGACGGUACUGACGCUGAGACGCGAAAGCGUGGGGAGCGAACAGG